CUUUGUGCCGCCGACCGCCCGGGGAGACGACGUCUAUUGUUCACCGCGGGGGAGGGAGGUGUUCAGACUCGGGGUCCACGCCAGCCCCCUCCCCCGAUUGUCCCCCGUUUCGAGGACCGAUGAGGGCCUCCUUUGUGUGUUUUUAGCCUGCGGCGGGGAUGGCAGCGUUGCGGCCCUAAGGGAUAUUAUUAUUCUAUAAAAAUGAUCCAGACUACAUAUAGGAACCAGUCAAGAUAUUUUGCCACAAGAGCUAGGACAAGAAGACUUAAGUAGUAUCCUGCACCAUGCUGACGCCUGUUUACCCUGGCUCUUCCUACAUGUGUGGAAACCUUUCUUCUGUGCUUCAGGCUGGACCUGGUCUGAGAUUUCUGAAAGGACCAAGUAAUGCCAAGAAUUGCCAGAUAAAGAGGACCUUCCUAGAUCUGUAACUGGGAUAAACCAAUUCUUGACUUCAGUCGGAACCUUCAACUAAUUCUCAGGAUAAAGUCAAAACAGGCCUGUGACCAUCCCUUGAAUACUGAUGGUGUAAACAAGCUUCUGGCUCCCCCAGGUCAAGCAGAG